UAAGCAGAGAGACACCGAGUCCCUUCCGGUCAGACGCUGCCAUGGGCUGCAGGCUCCUCUGCUGGGUGGCCCUCUGUCUUCUGGGGGCAGUCUCCAUGGACACUGGAGUUACCCAGAUACCAAAACAUCUGGUAACAGGGACGGGGAGGAAAGUGACCCUGGAGUGCAAACAAAAUCUGGGACAUAAUGCUAUGUACUGGUAUAAGCAGAGCGCUCAGAAGCCGCCGAAGCUCAUGUUUGCUUAUAACGGUAACGACCUCUUUCAAAAUGAGACUGCCUCCAGUCGGUUCUCACUUCAACGCCCAAAGACCUCCGAGCUGGACCUUCACGUGAGCCCUGUGGAGCCCGAGGACUCCGCCGUGUAUCUCUGUGCUAGCAGCAAAGACACAGCCCCGCACCCUCAACCUCUCCCUGUGCACAAACCUCCUGGGUCGAGCCAGGAAGCUGACACAUGGAACCUGGAGUCAGCCAAAGCCUUAGCCACUCUAUCACAGUGGUGGGACAGAGCGUGGCUGAGGUGUGACCGCGUCUCUGGUCACGUGUACUUCUUCCAGUAUCGAUAG